GUGUCAGCCGCCGCGGUAAUACGGAGGCCUCGAGCGUUGUUCGGAAUCACUGGGCUUAAAGCGCGUGUAGGCGGGACGGCAAGUACUUUGUGAAAUCCCCGGCUUCAAUCCGGGAACUGCUAGGUAUACUGCCGUUCUUGAGGCAGGUAGGGGUCACUGGAACCUUAGGUGGAGCGGUGAAAUGCGUAGAUAUCUAAGGGAACGCCUGUGGCGAAAGCGGGUGACUGGGCCUGCCCUGACGCUGAGACGCGAAAGCGUAGGGAGCAAACGGGAUUAGAAACCCGUGUAGUCC
rnacentral:rRNA from 1 species